AUGAACAAGUGGCAGUAUAUAAAAAAAAAAUCUAUAACACUAGAAAAUGCAAUAUUAGUAGAAGAAAUCAACAAAACCGACUAUAAUGUCUCUUAUUUAUUCUCUCUCCAAACAAACGGGUACAAACUCCAUCUUUCUAUGUUUCAUGCUCAAAAGCAAACUCAUCCCUUGAAUCACAAAUAA